rnacentral:rRNA from 1 species
AGAAUCAACGCUGGCGGCGUGCCUAACACAUGCAAGUCGAACGCGAAAGUCCCGCAAGGGAUAAGUAGAGUGGCAAACGGGUGAGUAACACGUGGGUGACCUGCCUUCGAGCGGGGGAUAACGUCCCGAAAGGGACGCUAAUACCGCAUGACAUCCUGCCUUUGAAGAGGCGGUGAUCAAAGCCGGGGACCGUAAGGCCUGGCACUUGAAGAGGGGCCCGCGCCUGAUUAGCUAGUUGGUGGGGUAAUGGCUCACCAAGGCAACGAUCAGUA